rnacentral:rRNA from 1 species
UGGGGAAUAUUGCACAAUGGGCGAAAGCCUGAUGCAGCAACGCCGCGUGAGGGACGACGGCCUUCGGGUUGUAAACCUCUUUUAGCAAGGAAGAAGCGAAAGUGACGGUACUUGCAGAAAAAGCGCCGGCUAACUACGUGCCAGCAGCCGCGGUAAUACGUAGGGCGCAAGCGUUAUCCGGAAUUAUUGGGCGUAAAGAGCUCGUAGGCGGUUUGUCGCGUCUGCUGUGAAAACCCGAGGCUCAACCUCGGGCCUGCAGUGGGUACGGGCAGACUAGAGUGCGGUAGGGGAGAUUGGAACUCCUGGUGUAGCGGUGGAAUGCGCAGAUAUCAGGAAGAACACCGAUGGCGAAGGCAGAUCUCUGGGCCGUAACUGACGCUGAGGAGCGAAAGGGUGGGGAGCAAACAGGCUUAGAUACCCUGGUAGUCCACCCGUAAACGUUGGGAACUAGUUGUGGGGUCCAUUCCACGGAUUCCGUGACGCAGCUAACGCAUUAAGUUCCCCGCCUGGGGAGUACGGCCGCAAGGCUAAAACUUGAAAUGAAUUGACGGGGUCAUAGCUGUUUCCU